rnacentral:rRNA from 1 species
CAUAUGCUUGUCUCAAAGCUUAAGCCAUGCAAGUCUCAGUACAGACUAUAUUAAAGUGAAACCGCAAAAGGCUCAGUAAACCAGUUUUAAUUUACUAGAGUUAACUUGACUGUGCUUGGAUAACUGUGGUAAUUCUAGAGCUAAUACAUGCAACAAAGCCGUGACCAUUCGUGGUCAGGGCGCUUUUAUUAGACCAAGACCAAUCGCCCGGCCAGUCCGGGCGUUAAGUUGAGGAACCUAGAUAACACAGCAGAUCGCAUGGUCUUUGUACCGGCGACCUAUCUUUCAAAUGCCUGACUUAUCAACUGACGAUGGUAGACUCUGUGUCUACCAUGGCUGUUACGGGUAACGGGGAAUCAGGGUUCGAUUCCGGAGAGGGAGCCUGAGAAACGGCUACCACAUCCAAGGAAGGCAGCAGGCACGCAAAUUACCCACUCCCGGAACGGGGAGGUAGUGACAAAAAAUAACGAUACGGGACUCGAUAUGAGGCCUCGUAAUCGGAAUGAGUACACUCUAAAUCCUUUAACAAAAAUCUAUUGGAGGGCAAGUCUGGUGCCAGCAGCCGCGGUAAUUCCAGCUCCAAUAGCGUAUAUUAAAGUUGUUGCGGUUAAAAAGCUCGUAGUUGGUUCUGCGUCCCGCGCUGUCGGUACACCGUUUGUCGGUGACACUGGCAUGACGCGGGAUGUCCUGUCGGUGGCGGCGGAGACCAUAUCGCCGUCGGCUAACACCGCGGCGUGUUGGCCUUCUGUCGCCGGCUUUAUCCUACCGCGGUGCUCUUCACUGAGUGUCGAGGUAGGCCGACACGUUUACUUUGAACAAAUUAGAGUGCUUAAAGCAGGCAAAAAUCUCUGCCAGAAUAGUGGUGCAUGGAAUAAUGGAACAGGACCUUGGUUCUAUUCUGUUGGUCUCCGGAACACAAGGUAAUGAUCAAUGUGGACAGGCGGGGGCAUUCGUAUUGCGGCGUUAGAGGUGAAAUUCUUGGAUCGUCGCAAGACGCACUAGAGCGAAAGCAAUUGCCAAGUAUGUCUUAAUUGAUCAAGAACGAAAGUUAGAGGUUCGAAGGCGAUCAA